UGUUGUUAGUGAACAAAGAUGAUUACGACAGCUGCAACACGAAGAAGCCUUUGCUGAAACUGGAUUCGGGUGACUCAGAGUUCAAGCUUGAUCGUUCGGGUCCUUUCUAUUUCAUAAGUGGAAACCAUGAUCAUUGCCAAAAGGGACAGAAAUUAAUCGUCGUCGUUUUGCAUGAAAGGCCCCCCCCUCCCUCAACUGGACCCCCCACCACGAAACCUCCACCGCAUGCCCCGUCUCCUAAGUCUCCUUCUCCGGCCACACAGCCGCCGGCGACUUCCCCCUCCACCUCACCAACAUCUCAUGCACCUUCGGCUAAUCCUCCUAAAGGGUCCUCUCCGACGCCGGCAACUUCACCUUCCACGUCUUCGCCUUAUCCUCCAAAAGGAUACUCUCCAGUGCCGGCGACUUCACCUUCCACGUCACCAUCAUCUCAUGCGCCUUCGCCUUAUCCUCCAAAAGGGUACUCUCCGGUGCCGGCAACUUCACCUUCUACGUCACCAUCAUCAUCCCAAUCACCUGCGGCUAAUGCUCCAACUGGGCUGUCACCGGCUCCGGGAACUUCCCCCUCCACGUCACCGUCAUCGCAACCACCUGCGGCUAAUGCUCCAACUGGGCUGUCACCGGCUCCGGGAACUUCCCCCUCCACGUCACCGUCAUCGCAGCCACCUGCGGCUAAUGCUCCAACAGGAGUAUCUCCCCCGCCGGGAACCUCCCCUUCCACGUCACCGCCGGCGGUUCCAUCGUCACCUGGUAAUGCGCCAUCAUUGGCGCCGUCGAACUCAAGUAAUCCGGCUGGUGGGACGCCACCGCCGUCG
rnacentral:lncRNA from 1 species